UGGGAAAAUCUGGACAGCGGCGGCGGAACCGGGGAAGCAAGCUUACCCGGCCCCGCAGACAUUGGACGGAUAAGGGAACAUGAGCAUGAAGCGGGGGAUCGCGGAAUGCGAAUGAUCCCGGAGGACAGCGGGAGUGCGAGAGCACGGAGCUGUCCAAUUUCCCA
rnacentral:sRNA from 1 species